CCUGUUUACCAAAAACAUCACCUCCAGAUAAGAAUCGCCUAUUGGAGGCAAGACCUGCCCAAUGAUUAAUAUUGAAUGGCCGCGGUACUUUGACCGUGUAAAAGUAGCGUAAUCACUUGUCUUGUAAAUUAAGACUAGAAUGAAAGGUUACACGAGGGCAUAACUGUCUCCUUAUCCCUAUCAAUGAAAUUGACCUACCCGUGCAAAGGCGGGUAUAAACCCAUAAGACGAGAAGACCCUGUGGAGCUUCCAAACAUUUACAUCGCAUAAUCAUUAUUCACGAUGCACAGUUUUAGGUUGGGGCAACCACGGAACAAAAGUAAUAUCCACGACGACGAAAAUACAAUUUUCUUAGCCUAGAGUUACAACUCUAAGCACUAGUAGAACUAACGUUAAUAGACCCAGCAUCACUUGCUGCCUAACGAAACAAGUUACCCCAGGGAUAACAGCGCAAUCCUUUCCACGAGCCCGAAUCAACGAAAGGGUUUACGACCUCGAUGUUGGAUCGGGGCACCCCAAUGGCGCAAAAGCUAUUAAAGGUUCGUUUGUUCAACGAUUAAAGCCCUACGUGAUCU
rnacentral:rRNA from 3 species